AUUGAACGCUGGCGGCAGGCCUAACACAUGCAAGUCGAGCGGAUGAAGGGAGCUUGCUCCUGGAUUCAGCGGCGGACGGGUGAGUAAUUCCUAGGAAUCUGCCUGGUAGUGGGGGAUAACGUCCGGAAACGGGCGCUAAUACCGCAUCCGUCCUGAGGGUGAAAGUGGGGGAUCUUCGGACCUCACGCUAUCAGAUGAGCCUAGGUCGGAUUAGCUAGUUGGUGGGGUAAAGGCCUACCAAGGCGACGAUCCGUAACUGGUCUGAGAGGAUGAUCAGUCACACUGGAACUGAGACACGGUCCAGACUCCUACGGGAGGCAGCAGUGGGGAAUAUUGGACAAUGGGCGAAAGCCUGAUCCAGCCAUGCCGCGUGUGUGAAGAAGGUCUUCGGAUUGUAAAGCACUUUAAGUUGGGAGGAAGGGCAGUAAGUUAAUACCUUGCUGUUUUGACGGUACCAACAGAAUAAGCACCGGCUAACUUCGUG
rnacentral:rRNA from 1 species